UACGAAGGGGGCUAGCGUUGUUCGGAGUUACUGGGCGUAAAGGGCGCGUAGGCGGCGCACCAAGUCAGGCGUGAAAGCCCUGGGCUCAACCCGGGAAUUGCGCUUGAGACUGGUGUGCUCGAGUGCGGGAGAGGAUGGUGGAAUUCCCAGUGUAGAGGUGAAAUUCGUAGAUAUUGGGAAGAACACCGGUGGCGAAGGCGGCCAUCUGGACCGUAACUGACGCUGAGGCGCGAAAGCGUGGGGAGCAAACAGG
rnacentral:rRNA from 1 species